UUACUCUGUUAUAGGAUCUUGCUAAAUCCCCUUUUUAAAUUUAGAGAAAGUCAGUAAAUGUUUUAGCUAUUAGACUAUCAAAAAUACAUCGAGGGCAUCGAUUCUCAAAUUAGCAAUAUGCUGACUUUCAUUUUGUAGGAUGCCAGAGGCAAGGAGAUUGAGGAUGUAUUAUUUCUCUCGGAGAUCAUUUGUACCGUAUGGACUAUAUGGACUUGGUUCAGGGCCAUCGUCAAAGUGGCGCAGAUAUUACUAUUGUUUGUCUCCCUAUGGAUGACAGUCGUGCCUCAGACUUUGGUUUAAUGAAGAUAGACAACAAAGGGUUCUUUUCUUUAAUGAAAAGCCCAAGGGAGAGGAAUUGAAAGCAAUGGUAAUUAUCCCGAUACCUUUAUGUUUGCAUCUACUAAUAGGAUUAGACUGAAAUUAGACCUCAUGAGUAUGAAGCGAUUCUACAAUUUUGCAUGAUUGCGUGAUCUUCAUUUCAAAUUCCUUGGGCGUUGGAUACUACAGUUUUGGGCCUGUCACGAGAGGAGGCUGAAAAGAAACCAUACAUUGCUUCCAUGGGAGUGUAUGUCUUCAAGAAGGAGAUACUCUUGAAUCUUCUAAGGUAUGGUAUUCAAGCUGCAUGUAGAUUCUAUGAUUUUUAAAAGAAGAUGAAAUUGAAGUUUGAUAAGAAAUGUUCCCUACAUAUCUGAUCCUGUGAACCGUCACAUCUUUUGUUCGAAAUGAGUGACAACGCACAUGAAUUGGCGUGCAGAAAAUUUAAUUAAAGUUCCUUGUGUGAUUCAUUACUA